rnacentral:rRNA from 1 species
UUUUUUAUCGGUUUUAGAUGAGCCUAUGUUAGAUUAGCUAGUUGGUGAGGUAAUGGCUCACCAAGGCUAUGAUCUAUAGYUGGUCUGAGAGGAUGAUCAGCCACACUGGAACUGAGAYACGGUCCAGACUCCUACGGGAGGCAGCAGUGGGGAAUAUUGGACAAUGGGCGCAAGCCUGAUCCAGCUACGCCGCGUGAGUGAWGAAGGCCUUAUGGUUGUAAAACUCUUUCAAUGGGGAAGAUAAUGACGGUACCYACAGAAAAAGUCCCGGCWAACUUYGUGCCAGCAGCCGCGGUAAUACGAAGGGGGCUAGCGUURCUCGGAAUUAUUGGGCGUAAAGGGCRCGUAGGUGGACUAGUAAGUCAAAAGUGAAAUCCCUAAGCUUAACUUKRGAACUGCUUUUGAUACUGCUAGGCUUGAGUUCUGAAGAGGAUAGCGGAAUUC